GAUGAACGCUGACAGAAUGCUUAACACAUGCAAGUCGACUGGAAUUCACCUUCGGGUGAUAGUACGGUGGCGGACGGGUGAGUAACGCGUAAAGAACUUGCCCUCUAGACUGGGACAACUGUUGGAAACGACAGCUAAUACCGGAUAUUAUGAGAUUCUCGCAUGGGAAACUUAUGAAAGGCUAUAUGCGCUAGAGGAGAGCUUUGCGUGCCAUUAGGUAGUUGGUAGGGUAAUGGCCUACCAAGCCGACGAUGGCUAGCCGGCCUGAGAGGGUGAUCGGCCACAAGGGGACUGAGACACGGCCCUUACUCCUACGGGAGGCAGCAGUGGGGAAUAUUGGACAAUGGACCAAAAGUCUGAUCCAGCAAUUCUGUGUGCACGAUGAAGGUUUUCGGAUCGUAAAGUGCUUUUCAGUAGGGAAGAAAAAAUGACGGUACCUACAGAAGAAGCGACGGCUAAAUCG
rnacentral:rRNA from 1 species